CCUGACACAAAAAUUGCAUACUUUAUUUGUCACAAACUUUAAUUAAUAAUCAUUCUUGCUCUAAUAGAUUCAUUCCUCUGAGGACCCUAAAGUACUUCAGAAAAACUAAAAAAUGAAUAUCACGUUACACCAAAGAAGAAAUGAAAGAGGUAUUUAAUUGUUCCCUGAGGUUUAAGGCAGUGGACUGAGGAUAAUACAGCCUCCAGCUUUCAUUAGUUCAAAGGAUGAUGCUGUUCAAUCCAUACUGUUUGGGGCAUUUGUUGAAAAUGUCAUUCAGAAGAUAUCAACACUUUCUGAGUCAUGGUUUGAUUGAAUUUAUAGAAUUAUGUGAUAGAAACCGCAUUCUUCACAAAAGUCACAGGCAAUAAUGACGACAAGGGUUGAAAAUGAAAGAUGCCAAAUAUUCUGAUCAAUUCAAUAAGGCAAAAAGACAAGUUAAUUCACUCAGUGCUCCAGGCAUCAACUUCAUAGAAGGAAUGGAAGUUCUACCUGUUUCCUAAAGAACUACAGAGGAGGUGUACACCAAACAGAGGGCAAAUGCUGUUACCACUCAUUGUGCAAGACUUUUGAGGCAAUUUGGACAUAGACAAAUGAUGGGAAAAUUGAAUCAUUAUAUGGCUCAUGACAGUAUUGAAAACUCAAACAUCCAAGGACCUGUACCUUUGCUAAGUGCCAUGUAUAUGUUGCUGAUAAAGAUGGGAGCAGAGAUGGGGAAGAAUUGCUGAGUCAUGAUAAGAGAAGGCACUACAGGAAGAAACAGUGAACUCUUAACAGCUGGGCAAGCAAUGAGUCAGCCUGGGUGGUCACUCCAGAUGCUCCCGGACACAUCCCAAUUUCUAGGAUGCCUUGC
rnacentral:lncRNA from 1 species